rnacentral:rRNA from 1 species
GUCUCGUAGUGACCUGCGGAGGGAUCAUUACAGAGACUCUGCCCUUUGGGUAGACCUCCCACCCUGUGUCGUUAUACCUUUGUUGCUUUGGCGGGCCGCGGGGCCCCGGCCCCGCCCCUGGCUCCGGCUAGGGCGCGCCCGCCAGAGGACCUCAAAACCUGAAUGUUAGUGUCGUCUGAGUACUAUAUAAUAGUUAAAACUUUCAACAACGGAUCUCUUGGUUCUGGCAUCGAUGAAGAACGCAGCGAAAUGCGAUAAGUAAUGUGAAUUGCAGAAUUCAGUGAAUCAUCGAAUCUUUGAACGCACAUUGCGCCCCUUGGUAUUCCGGGGGGCAUGCCUGUUCGAGCGUCAUUACAACCCUCAAGCUCUGCUUGGUCUUGGGCGUCACCGGUCCCGGUGUGCCUUAAAAUCAGUGGCGGCGCCAUCUGGCUCUAAGCGUAGUACAUACUCUCGCUACAGACGUCCGGUGGAUGCUGGCCAGCAACCCCCAACUUAUCAAGGUUGACCUCGGAUCAGGUAGGGAUACCCGCUGAACUUAAGCAUAUCAAA